rnacentral:rRNA from 1 species
GACGAACGCUGGCGGCGUGCUUAACACAUGCAGGUCGAACGCUGAAGCUUGGUGCUUGCACUGGGUGGAUGAGUGGCGAACGGGUGAGUAAUACGUGAGUAACCUGCCCUUGACUCUGGGAUAAGCCUGGGAAACUGGGUCUAAUACUGGAUAUGACAUGCCACUGCAUGGUGGUGUGUGGAAAGGGUUUUACUGGUUUUGGAUGGGCUCACGGCCUAUCAGCUUGUUGGUGGGGUAAUGGCCUACCAAGGCGACGACGGGUAGCCGGCCUGAGAGGGUGACCGGCCACACUGGGACUGAGACACGGCCCAGACUCCUACGGGAGGCAGCAGUGGGGAAUAUUGCACAAUGGGCGGAAGCCUGAUGCAGCGACGCCGCGUGAGGGAUGACGGCCUUCGGGUUGUAAACCUCUUUCAGCACGGAAGAAGCGAGAGUGACGGUACGUGCAGAAGAAGCGCCGGCUAACUACGUG